GUGUUCGCUUCAUUAGCACAUAUUCUAAAAUUAGAAUGAUACAGAGAUGAUUACCAUGGCCCCUGUGCAAAGAUGACACGCAAAUUCAUGAAGCGUUCCUAUGCAUG